UACGAAGGGGCGUAGCGUUGCUCGGAAUUCACUGGGCGUAAAGAGCGCGCAGGCGGUCGUUCAAGUCGCGUGUGAAAGCCCCCGGCUCAACUGGGGAGGGUCACGCGAUACUGAUCGACUCGAAGGCAGGAGAGGGUAGUGGAAUUCCCGGUGUAGUGGUGAAAUGCGUAGAUAUCGGGAGGAACACCAGUGGCGAAGGCGACUACCUGGCCUGUUCUUGACGCUGAGGCGCGAAAGCUAGGGGAGCAAACGGGG
rnacentral:rRNA from 1 species